AUUGAACGCUGGCGGCAGGCUUAACACAUGCAAGUCGAGCGGAGUGGCGGAGGGGUGAGUAACGCCUAGGAAUUUGCCUGGUAGCUGGGAUAAAAGUCCGGAAACGGGGCCUAAUACCGCAUAGUAUAAGAUUAGACUCGGUCGGAUUAGCCAGUUGGGUGGGUAAAGGCCUACCAAGGCGACGAUCAGUAACUGGUCGGAGAGGAUGAUCCGUCACACUGGAACUGAGACACGGUCCAGACUCCUACGGGAGGCAGCAGUGGGGAAUAUUGGACAAUGGGCAAAAGCCUGAUCCAGCCAUGCCGCGUGUGUGAAGAAGGUCUUCGGAUUGUAAAGCACUUUAAGUUGGGAGGCGUUACCAACAGAAUAAGCACCGGCUAACUUCGUGCCAGCAGCCGCGGUAAUAC
rnacentral:rRNA from 1 species